GCUGCUUUUGGUAAACAGUUACACAGGAUACUUCACAAGAUACGUGAAGAGAGUCUUUGAGAGUUGAAUUCUAUUUCCUCUUCCUUUGGAUGUGGGCUAUAUUUGUGAGAAUCAUGCCAUGACCAUGAGGACACUCAAGUAGCCCUAUUGAGAGGUCUACAUGGUGAAGAACUAAUGUCUCCUGCCAAGAGCCAGUGAGGAAUUGGAGGGCUCUUGUCAACAGCCACCGAUGUGCAUGGUAAAAUCAAAUCCCUAUUAGGAUAAAUGAUUGAGUGUUCCUGUAAAGAAUUGUUCCCCUGGUUCAAGCAACCAGAUUUCAUUCCCAGAUGAUCAAAAAUGGACUUGAUGAAAUGGAAAAGCACUGAUAGAAACAGCCGUCGAUAUAUAGCUAAGGAUGAUAACAAGCACAACAAGGACUUACAGCAUUUGCUUUGCACCAGACACCAUCUAAAACACUUCACAAAUAUUAACUCAAAGGAACCUAUCAUAAUGCUGUCAUUAUUCCCAGUUCACAGAUGGGGAGGUAAAAACCCAGAGCUUAAUAGCAUGUCCAAGAUCACAUAACUAUUCCACUGCUCAAAAUUACUCCUGAAGGGAUGAGGACACCAGGAUAUGCCACCGGACCACUGAAGGAAUGGUGAUGGUAUGAAGAAAGUAUUUUUAAUGAGCAGAGCCAUUGUUUGCUCUGCUCUGUCCUCACCCCUCAAGAGAAUUUCCCUUAUUAUUAUGAAAACUUUUUAUCUUAAAAGAUAUUACAUGUUAAUGGAACUGUCGUUUAACAAAUGUUUUAUAAGUGUACCAAUCAAGCACAUUGUCGAAAUAAAAGAUAUGAAAUAAGUGAAAAAAA
rnacentral:lncRNA from 1 species